rnacentral:rRNA from 1 species
ACUAAGUCAUAUCACCUUGAGUGUGUCCAAUCUUUUCUGAUCUCAAAAAGCUAAGCAAGGUAGGGUUUGGCUAGUCCUUGGAUAGGAGAAACUGUCUGGAAAGUUAAGGACAUUUAACU